CACAAGCAGCGGAGCAUGUAGUUUAAUUCGAAGCAACGCGAAGAACCUUACCAGGUCUUGACAUCCUCUGACAAUCUGAGAGAUCAGACUUUCCUUCGGGAACGGAGAGACAGGUGGUGCAUGGUUGUCGUCAGCUCGUGUCGUGAGAUGUUGGGUUAAGUCCCGCAACGAGCGCAACCCCUAUUGUUAGUUGCCAUCAUUCAGUUGGGCACUCUAGCGAGACUGCCGGUAAUAAACCGGAGGAAGUGGGGAUGACGUCAAAUCAUCAUGCCCCUUAUGACCUGGGCUACACACGUGCUACAAUGGUUGGUACAACGAGUUGCGAGUCGGUGACGGCGAGCUAAUCUCUUAAAGCCAAUCUCAGUUCGGAUUGUAGGCUGCAACUCGCCUACAUGAAGUCGGAAUCGCUAGUAAUCGCGGAUCAGCACGCCGCGGUGAAUACGUUCCCGGGCCUU
rnacentral:rRNA from 1 species